rnacentral:misc_RNA from 1 species
GCCAUUUCUUUUCUUUGAGGAAGAAAACACAAGCGAAAGAAAGUAAAUAGAGAAACACAAGCACACCAAGUCUCUCAGUUGCUUAUUCUUUGGCUUCUGGGUAAAAGGUUGUGUUUGGACUCGGCUGAUACUUCGUUUUAGACGCUCUACGCUCAAAAGGGGUUUUAGCUCUCAUUCUCUUUAACAAGGGUGGUUGGGUUGGUUGUUAAAUUUCUAUACGAAUUUUGGUUGCUAUUCUAUACUUUUUACUACAGAAAUGACUAGUAAUGAAAUGGUGUAUGCCAAAGAAGCGGGGAAAGAUGUGGACGAAACACUCAAUAUCAAUCUAAAUGAUGCACUACUUGAAGGGGAAGCCAAAGAGCAUCCUUUGUCUCACCCUGGGGAUCAGGAAGCUCAAAACCCAGUUGAAAAUGGGAAAAUGAGGGCUGAGGACAAGGAUGAUGUUACCGAAGAUGCAAUGGACUGCGCAGUUGUUCAAGUAGAAGAACAAAUCCCAGCUGAAAAGGUUGCAGAUGCUCCUGGUGCCAAAAGUCCUGAGACUUUUCAUAACAAGGAUGAAAAAGCUGCUAGCGAUAGUAAAAUCCAUGAAAAUGAAACUAGUGGUGGUAACAUCCAAGCCAAAGCCAAUGCCAAUGGAAUGCAUGGUGACCUUCAAGAUGUGAAAUUUAAUUCUGAGGAUAAUGCUGACAAUGGUGCCAAUGAAAUUAACAAUGACGCGGAUGUUAAAAAUGAGGAUAGUCAUAUCCAUCUCUUGAAUGAGAAGUCUUUACAUGAUGGGAAAGUUGAUGAUGAUAUGAAUGUGGAGGCAGUGAAAGAUGUGGUGACCAAGGUGGACUUGUCUCCACCACAGAUUAAAAAGGAGAUGCCAAAACCCAACUUGGAUGAAGAGUAUGAAGCCACCAUGAACACUCCAAACAAAUCAUUCCUUUUUGAACCUUCUUCAGCUGAGGGUUAUGAGUCUGGAACAGAAGAGGAGCAAGCUGCGUUUAUAAAGGAGGUUGAAACUUUUUAUAAAGAAAAUAACUUAGAAUUCAAGGCCCCCAAAGUUCUACAAAGAAGAAUUGAAUUUGCUCAAGUUAUGGAAUGCAGUGGUCAAACUGGGAGGCUAUGAACAGGUGACUUCAUGCAAGUUAUGGCGGC